UUGCAUACUGACAUCUCUCCUCAAAGCUGCUUGAGACAUAAAGAGUGGAGUCACUGAGAUCGAGUCAAUUAAGCCUGUCUCUAAGACACAGUGGAGAUGGAUUUUUCACUUCUGUUUUUGGUGACCUUCUUUGUGUUGUUUGAAGAGUCCUGUGGAGAUAUCAUCAUGACUCAGUCUCCCUCAAGUCUCUCUGCACAGCCAGGAGAAACUGUCAGCAUGAACUGUAAGGCCAGCAGCUCCAUUACCAGUGGCAGCACUAACUAUCUUGCCUGGUAUCAGCAGAGAGCAGGAGAAACUCCAAAACUCCUGAUUUAUUAUGCAAGUACACUGCAGUCUGGGAUCUCAAGUCGUUUCAGUGGCAGUGGCUCUGGACUUGAUUAUACACUGACCAUCAGUAACGUGCAGUCUGAAGAUGCAGGACAAUACUACUGUCAGCAGCAUUACAGCUAUCCUCUCACACAGUGACACAGAGCUGUACAAAAACGUC